UAAUUGAAGAGUUUGAUCAUGGCUCAGAUUGAACGCUGGCGGCAGGCCUAACACAUGCAAGUCGAACGGUAACAGGGAGCAGCUUGCUGCUCUGCUGACGAGUGGCGGACGGGUGAGUAAUGUCUGGGAAACUGCCUGAUGGAGGGGGAUAACUACUGGAAACGGUAGCUAAUACCGCAUAACGUCUUCGGACCAAAGUGGGGGACCUUCGGGCCUCAUGCCAUCAGAUGUGCCCAGAUGGGAUUAGCUAGUAGGUGGGGUAACGGCUCACCUAGGCGACGAUCCCUAGCUGGUCUGAGAGGAUGACCAGCCACACUGGAACUGAGACACGGUCCAGACUCCUACGGGAGGCAGCAGUGGGGAAUAUUGCACAAUGGGCGCAAGCCUGAUGCAGCCAUGCCGCGUGUAUGAAGAAGGCCUUCGGGUUGUAAAGUACUUUCAGCGGGGAGGAAGG
rnacentral:rRNA from 1 species